UUUCAGGGAAGAUAACUUAGUCCAGUUCUGCUACUGAAUGAAAGUGAUGCAAAUGAAGACUCUGAGAAA